rnacentral:lncRNA from 1 species
CCAGACUCUUCGAUAGAUCAGGGUGAGUGGUCACCCAUUAUCCAAAUCAGAUGGCAGACCCGUCAGUAUCUGGCAUAAGUUAUUGAAGCAUCCAUACAUCACUCCUUGUAACCCUUUGCUCCUUGCCUGACGGCAUUCUGUCUAGGAACCUGAAAAAUUUAGCCAAUUACGGGAUGAGAUCACAUCUCAGCGAGUUCAAUUUGUAAAUCUCGAUUAGGAGAAGAGUACAUUCUACAUGCAACCUAGUCACAUUUCUCACAACUCUUUUAACCCUAGCAUUUCCCUGCACAUUAGUAUCAAUCAAAUCAUCUAUAACAGUAUCAAGAUCAUAUAUCAUAUUAAUAUUUCCACAGAUGUAUAUGUAGGGAUGUAAUUAUUAACACAAUAGUACAGGCCCCCAAUUACUAGACUAAAUUGUUAUGGUACGUGCCAUACCGCACCACACAAUUCCGUCUCCUAAUUAGGUCCCUCAAGUUCGAUCAUUCAUGCAUCUCCACAAAUUUCAAUUCACUAGAUAUGGUCAACCCAAUAGAUAACGGUUAUCCGGCAUGGCCGAGCAUCAUCUCACACCAUUGAGCACAAUAAUGUCUAUAUCUAGACGGCAUUCUGAUUAGGAACAUCAGUCCAACAUCCACUACGACCGGCAUCCAUUGACUUAGGGCAUUCUUGAAUGAGCAUCAUCCGGCCCCAAAGACUCGUGACGGAUUUUCAUGUAACAUAUGCAUUUAUCCAAUUUCACAAUUCAACAAUUAAUUAUGCAUCUCAGCCAUAUCACCAAAUAAGCAAAUUUCUAGCAAACAUGUCAUUAAAAACAAUCACACAUUACUACUUGCUCUAACCGGCAAAAACUGUCCAUUUGCGCACUUCCGAGUUUAACACUAGAAAUCAACUCAAACGAGUUUGAAAAAUUCUCAAACUUGAACAUGUGACAAAGGACACAUAAAAAAACAUUUUUCAUGAAACACCAAGACCCAGAUCCUUCUGGAUUCGGCCCAGUAAUUCACUCAAUCCAGCACCAAAACCGAGUCCGUUUCCAAACGGUAUGUUUUCCAGAAUCAGCUUAAUUCGGGGUCGGGGUCUAAAAUAGGUUCGUUUGAUCUAAAAUUCAAGUAUGUUAAACUAUAAGAUAUAAAAAACAAAUUUUGUGAGGAAACCAUUUAGAACUUCAAACCCUAAGGGUCAGUUAAACCCCUAGAAUCCCAAUAGGUCAGGAUUUCCUAUAUAGUCCGACUUUCUGUUUAAAGAUAACGAAGUUAAAAUCUUCUUCCUUUAAAUUCCCAAAAAUCCUGAAAAAAUAUAUGUUAUGAUUGAAGAGGUUUAAAACAUUUCUUCAGAUGAAAUCACUUCAAAAUCACAACACAUCUCAUUCUACAAAAAUAGCAAACCGCAAGCGUCUAAAAAAAAUCAAUUCUAGAGAACAGUCUCUAUCUUUGGCUAAACUAUCCUCUAAGGUUCUGAGCUUGCUAUUUAAACGAAGACUAAGCCUUUCUAUGACUAAUAUAACCUUUCUAAAUUAACACUAACCUAUAUUAAAUCCCAUCUAAACCUUCCUUAACUUAUUUAAAUUCCUAAACAGAGGUACAUAACCCAUAAUCAAGCCUUAGGAAAACAACUCACCUAGGCUAAAACCACGCACUUUCAACGACGAUGGUGAGGUCUCGACUCUAGGAGGUCCCG